rnacentral:rRNA from 1 species
UAGCGGCGGACGGGUGAGUAAUGCUUAGGAAUCUGCCUAUUAGUGGGGGACAACAUUCCGAAAGGGAUGCUAAUACCGCAUACGCCCUACGGGGGAAAGCAGGGGAUCUUCGGACCUUGCGCUAAUAGAUGAGCCUAAGUCGGAUUAGCUAGUUGGUGGGGUAAAGGCCUACCAAGGCGACGAUCUGUAGCGGGUCUGAGAGGAUGAUCCGCCACACUGGGACUGAGACACGGCCCAAACUCCUACGGGAGGCAGCAGUGGGGAAUAUUGGACAAUGGGGGGAACCCUGAUCCAGCCAUGCCGCGUGUGUGAAGAAGGCCUUUUGGUUGUAAAGCACUUUAAGCGAGGAGGAGGCGCUCUAGGUUAAUACCCUAGAUGCGUGGACGUUACUCGCAGAAUAAGCACCGGCUAACUCUGUGCCAGCAGCCGCGGUAAUACAGAGGGUGCGAGCGUUAAUCGGAUUUACUGGGCGUAAAGCGCGCGUAGGUGGCUAAUUAAGUCAAAUGUGAAAUCCCCGAGCUUAACUUGGGAAUUGCAUUCGAUACUGGUUAGCUAGAGUAUGGGAGAGGAUGGUAGAAUUCCAGGUGUAGCGGUGAAAUGCGUAGAGAUCUGGAGGAAUACCGAUGGCGAAGGCAGCCAUCUGGCCUAAUACUGACACUGAGGUGCGAAAGCAUGGGGAGCAAACAGGAUUAGAUACCCUGGUAGUCCAUGCCGUAAACGAUGUCUACUAGCCGUUGGGGCCUUUGAGGCUUUAGUGGCGCAGCUAACGCGAUAAGUAGACCGCCUGGGGAGUACGGUCGCAAGACUAAAACUCAAAUGAAUUGACGGGGGCCCGCACAAGCGGUGGAGCAUGUGGUUUAAUUCGAUGCAACGCGAAGAACCUUACCUGGCCUUGACAUACAGAGAACUUUCCAGAGAUGGAUUGGUGCCUUCGGGAACUCUGAUACAGGUGCUGCAUGGCUGUCGUCAGCUCGUGUCGUGAGAUGUUGGGUUAAGUCCCGCAACGAGCGCAACCCUUUUCCUUACUUGCCAGCAUUUCGGAUGGGAACUUUAAGGAUACUGCCAGUGACAAACUGGAGGAAGGCGGGGACGACGUCAAGUCAUCAUGGCCCUUACGGCCAGGGCUACACACGUGCUACAAUGGUCGGUACAAAGGGUUGCUACACAGCGAUGUGAUGCUAAUCUCAAAAAGCCGAUCGUAGUCCGGAUUGGAGUCUGCAACUCGACUCCAUGAAGUCGGAAUCGCUAGUAAUCGCGGAUCAGAAUGCCGCGGUGAAUACGUUCCCGGGCCUUGUACACACCGCCCGUCACACCAUGGGAGUUUGUUGCACCAGAAGUAGGUAGUCU